UUAAGGGAGUAACCCGCAAGAGAUGCUGGCGCCCACUCUCAAGAGAGCCCUCCUUCCAACGCAACUCAGUUACCUGUAAAACGAGUAACAGGUUCUUAAUGAAAUAACAUAUGUUUCAGGAGCAGAAAUAAUGGAAGAUUACCCAUCUGGAUGGCACAAGGUAUAUGAAAUACUUGGGGUGCAGUCAGGAACUUUAAGAACAAGACCUUGUAUGUGCUAAUUGCUAGGCUCUAAGCAAAAGAAAAGCAGGUUCAAAUGAAAAUUGUGGAUUUCUCAUAGCGUGGAAUGUGGAACUACUUCCUCCGUUUCA